UACGGAGGGUGCAAGCGUUAUCCGGAUUCACUGGGUUUUAAAAGGGUGCGUAGGCGGAUAGGUAAGUCCGUGGUGAAAAUCCUGCAGCUUAACUGCAGAACUGCCCAUGGAUACUAUCUAUCUUUGAAAUGUCGUGGAGGUUUAGCGGAAAUAUGUCAUGUAGCGGGUGAAAAAAUGCUUUAGAGAUGACAUAGAAACACCCCCAUUUUGCGAAAGGGCAGC
rnacentral:rRNA from 1 species